UAACACAUGCAAGUCGAACGAAACACCUUAUUUGAUUUUCUUCGGAACUGAAGAUUUGGUGAUUGAGUGGCGGACGGGUGAGUAACGCGUGGGUAACCUACCUUGUACAGGGGGAUAACAGUCAGAAAUGACUGCUAAUACCGCAUAAGACCACAGCACCGCAUGGUGCAGGGGUAAAAACUCCGGUGGUACAGGAUGGACCCGCGUCUGAUUAGCUGGUUGGUGAGGUAACGGCUCACCAAGGCGACGAUCAGUAGCCGGCUUGAGAGAGUGAACGGCCACAUUGGGACUGAGACACGGCCCAAACUCCUACGGGAGGCAGCAGUGGGGAAUAUUGCACAAUGGGGGAAACCCUGAUGCAGCAACGCCGCGUGAGUGAAGAAGUAUUUCGGUAUGUAAAGCUCUAUCAGCAGGGAAGAUAAUGACGGUACCUGACUAAGAAGCUCCGGCUAAAUACGUGCCAGCAGCCGCGGUAAUACGUAUGGAGCAAGCGUUAUCCGGAUUUACUGGGUGUAAAGGGAGCGUAGACGGCAUGGCAAGUCUGAAGUGAAAUGCGGGGGCUCAACCCCUGAACUGCUUUGGAAACUGUCAGGCUGGAGUGCAGGAGAGGUAAGUGGAAUUCCUAGUGUAGCGGUGAAAUGCGUAGAUAUUAGGAGGAACACCAGUGGCGAAGGCGGCUUACUGGACUGUAACUGACGUUGAGGCUCGAAAGCGUGGGGAGCAAACAGGAUUAGAUACCCUGGUAGUCCACGCCGUAAACGAUGAUUACUAGGUGUUGGGGAUUUAUAAAUCCCCGGUGCCGUCGCAAACGCAAUAAGUAAUCCACCUGGGGAGUACGUUCGCAAGAAU
rnacentral:rRNA from 1 species